GGCGCGGUGUUCCGGCGCUCGGGUGCCGGGCGGCCGUGCCGCGUACGGUAGGCGCGGUGUAUUUUUGGGGUUGGAUUCGUGUUGAUUUCUGGGGGCUUCCAGGUGCGGCCGCUCCCCGAGAAGCGAGACCGUGCUGAGGACGUGGUUGUCUGUCCUUCCCCCGGGGAUGCCGUUGACUGCGGCCGUCUCAGGCUUGCGUGGCUUCUCUCUGCCCGGCGUUGCCAUCCUCGCAGCGCGGGGGCGAAAAGGGACACACAGAGCCCUUCCCGGCUGUGGACAGGAGCUGCCUCGGCUGAAGCUGGAGACGCCAACGAAAGGUGGAGAACGGCCUAGAGUCUGGAGCUGCAGAAGAGGCAGGGCGGAGAGGAGGGGAAAGAAGCAUCUGAACGGCUAAAUUGUGCCAGCAGCGCUGAGAGCGAGAGUCGCGGUGGAGGACGGCCUAGAGUCUGGAGCUGCAGAAGAGGCAGGGCGGAGAGGAGGGGAAAGAAGCAUCUGAACGGCUAAAUUGUGCCAGCAGCGCUGAGAGCGAGAGUCGCGGUGAGUCCUGGGCCACUGGGGCCCCGUUGCCUCUCUUGUGCGUCCUGGGCCCUCCCUGUCUCUCCCCCCUGGCCCCCUCUCUUUCCUUACCUGCUGCAAAAUUAUUUUUUUUUUUUUUUGGCGCCCCCCCGCCCCUUCUUUCUCCAUCUCGCUCUGAGUGGCUCCCUGCCUCCCCGUCUUUUCAGGCCUCCCUCUCUCUGUCCUGUAGCCUGUGGCUACUUGUUCUUUCUCCGCCUCUCUCUGCCUGGCUCUGGCUCCGUUUUUAUUUUUUUAUUCCUCCUGCUCUGUUCUGUAGCCUGUCGGUAUUUUGUCUUUCUCU